UGACGUUGUAAAACGACGGCCAGUGAAUUGUAAUACGACUCACUAUAGGGCGAAUUGGGCCCUCUAGAUGCAUGCUCGAGCGGCCGCCAGUGUGAUGGAUAUCUGCAGAAUUCGGCUUAUUACCGCGGCUGCUGGCACGGAGUUAGCCGGUGCUUACUCCUAAAGUACCGUCAUUAUCUUCCUUUAGAAAAGAGCUUUACGACCCAAAGGCCUUCUUCACUCACGCGGUAUUGCUGCGUCAGGCUUUCGCCCAUUGCGCAAAAUUCCCCACUGCUGCCUCCCGUAGGAAGCCGAAUUCCAGCACACUGGCGGCCGUUACUAGUGGAUCCGAGCUCGGUACCAAGCUUGG
rnacentral:rRNA from 1 species